rnacentral:misc_RNA from 1 species
GGAAGGAUCAUUAUUGAAUAAACUUGGUGGGCUGUUGCUGGCUUUACAAAGCAUGUGCACGCCUGCUAACUUUUAUCAAUCCACCUGUGCACUAUCUGUAGUCUUGGGAAGUUAACAGCCAGAUAAAGCCUUUGUGGCUUUUGGGUUGUAAUCAACUUCUCUGACUAUGUUUUUGCAUUCAUCAUGUAACAUGUAGUCAGAAUGGUACACCAAGGCCUUUUGUGCCUAUAAAUAUCAUUACAACUUUCAGCAACGGAUCUCUUGGCUCUCGCAUCGAUGAAGAACGCAGCGAAAUGCGAUAAGUAAUGUGAAUUGCAGAAUUCAGUGAAUCAUCGAAUCUUUGAACGCACCUUGCGCUCCUUGGUAUUCCGAGGAGCAUGCCUGUUUGAGUGUCAUUUAAUUCUCAUCCACACUUGGUUUGUUAAGCUAGGCUGUGGUUUGGAUAGUGGGGGUACUUUUGCGGGCUUCGCUUCUGAGGUCAGCUCCCCUAAAAUGUAUCAGCAGAACGGUUUGCGGUCAGUCACCGGUUGUGAUAAUUAUCUACGCCCACGACAAAAAUGCCGCUCUCUGUCUGUUCAAGUCAUUAGUGACAACUUCUGAACACCUUGACCUCAAAUCAGGUAGGACUACCCGCUGAACUUAAGCAUAUCAAUAAGCGGAGGAAAAGAAACUAACAAGGAUUCCCCUAGUAACUGCGAGUGAAGCGGGAAAAGCUCAAAUUUGAAAUCUGGCGGUCAUUGACUGUCCGAAUUGUAAUCUAGAGAAGUGUUACCCGCGCUGGACCGUGUACAAGUCUCCUGGGAUGGAGCAUCAUAGAGGGUGAGAAUCCCGUCUCUGACACGGACUACCAGGGCUUUGUGGUAUGCUCUCAAAGAGUCGAGUUGUUUGGGAAUGCAGCUCAAAAUGGGUGGUAAAUUCCAUCUAAAGCUAAAUAUUGGCGAGAGACCGAUAGCGAACAAGUACCGUGAGGGAAAGAUGAAAAGAACUUUGGAAAGAGAGUUAAACAGUACGUGAAAUUGCUGAAAGGGAAACGCUUGAAGUCAGUCUCGUUGGCCAGGGAUCAGCCUUGCAUUUUUGCGUGGUGUACUUCCUGGUUGACGGGUCAGCAUCAAUUUCGACUGCUGGAAAAAGGCUUAGGGAAUGUGGCAGCUCCGGCUGUGUUAUAGCCCUUGGUCACAUACAGCGGUUGGGAUUGAGGAACUCAGCACGCCGCAAGGCCGGGUUUCGACCACGUUCGUGCUUAGGAUGCUGGCAUAAUGGCUUUAAGCGACCCGUCUUGAAACACGGACCAAGGAGUCUAACAUGCCUGCGAGUGUUCAGGUGGAAAACCUGAGCGCAUAAUGAAAGUGAAAGUUGAGAUCCCUGUCGUGGGGAGCAUCGACGCCCGGACCAGAACUUCUGGGACGGAUCCGCGGUAGAGCAUGUAUGUUGGGACCCGAAAGAUGGUGAACUAUGCCUGAAUAGGGUGAAGCCAGAGGAAACUCUGGUGGAGGCUCGUAGCGAUUCUGACGUGCAAAUCGAUCGUCAAAUUUGGGUAUAGGGGCGAAAGACUAAUCGAACCAUCUAGUAGCUGGUUCCUGC